AAGCUUCCCCUAGCACAGAACAGUUUUUAAAUGGCUACAAGAAGAGGUAGUAAUUAUUGUAAACUACCUUUGAAGAGCCAAGAUUUAAAUAACUAACAUUUAAACAGUCAAUUUUCUGAGAAAAAAUAAUUAUAAAAUUACACUGAAAUGAUAAGGCAGAGCUUCAAUUUCACCAAAUCAGUAGUUCUAUACCACACCAACUUGCAUGAGAAGACACCAUUCAGGUUGGAAGGGGAUUAAA
rnacentral:misc_RNA from 1 species